AUGAAGAUGGUUCAAACCGAGAAAUAUUUGGUAUUUCCAUUGGUUUAUAAACUUAUUGAGUUGACUUUGAUAUUGCCGGUGUCGACAACAUCCGUUGAAAGAGCUUUUUCAGCAAUGAAGAUUAUCAAGUCUAAAUUGUGCAAUAAGAUCAACGAUGUGUGGUUCAAUGACUUGAUGGUAUCUUACACUGAGCGGGAGAUAUUCAAGUCACUUGAUGAUAUUGAUAUCAUUCAAAAAUUCACCGCAAAGAAGUCUCGGAAAAGGCAUUUGCCUCGUAAUUUUAUUUAA